rnacentral:rRNA from 1 species
AACGCGAAGAACCUUACCUACCCUUGACAUGCUAGGAAUCCCGAAGAGAUUUGGGAGUGCUCGAAAGAGAACCUGGACACAGGUGCUGCAUGGCUGUCGUCAGCUCGUGUCGUGAGAUGUUGGGUUAAGUCCCGCAACGAGCGCAACCCUUGUCCUUAGUUGCUACGCAAGAGCACUCUAAGGAUACUGCCGGUGACAAACCGGAGGAAGGUGGGGAUGACGUCAAGUCCUCAUGGCCCUUAUGGGUAGGGCUUCACACGUCAUACAAUGGUCGGUACAGAGGGUCGCCAAGCCGCGAGGUGGAGCCAAUCCUUUAAAACCGAUCGUAGUCCGGAUUGUAGUCUGCAACUCGACUACAUGAAGUCGGAAUCGCUAGUAAUCGCGGAUCAGAAUGUCGCGGUGAAUACGUUCCCGGGUCUUGUACACACCGA